rnacentral:lncRNA from 1 species
UGGUGUGGCAGGGUUGGAAUCGGGGUCGCGGUCAGGAGAUUGGUUGCCGCAGUUGCAGGACAGUGGCGGGGCCUGGGGGAGGGAGUUAGUCAGGGAGGGGCGUGGCCAAUAAGGGCGGGGCCUGGGCGUGGGGGCGGAGCAAUACGAGUUGCGACCAGGCCCCGAUAGAAACUGGCAGUUUGGGAGCUGGGUAGGGGUGGGGUCAAAGGGAGGCUGGAGCUGGGUGGAGGCGGGUCAGGGAAGGGCAGGGCCAAGGGCCAGGGCAGAGCAGUCCUGGGGCGGGACCCGAGAGGGGAAGCGUGGGAGGGCUGGAGAGGCUCUGGAGUGAGAGCAGGAGCGAGACCCUGGGGUGGGCCUGGAGCCGGGUGGGGCAAAUUUCUCACCCAGGCAUUCCGCAGCCCGUGGGCCGGCUCGGAAGCCCGGGCCGCACACGCAGCGGAAGCUGCCUGGUGAGUUCUCGCAGCGCCCGGGAGCACAGGGCGGGGGCACGCGGCGACAUUCGUCCACAUCUGAGGACACGGAGGGGGCUGGUGACAAGGUGACCAGGCAAAGCCCCCCGCCCCGCCUCCUUCCGCGCCCUCCGUCUUGCUCACCAAUGCAUCGGGUGCCCUGGGGGCUGAGCCGGAAGCCAGAGUCGCAAGCGCAGGUGUAGCCGCUGGGCCGGGAAAUGCAGCGUCCUGGGCCGCAGACCUGGGGGUUGCGCUGACACAUGCCGGAGGAGGGACCUGGGGGGUCCAGUCAGCCAGGGUUCCCCCAUCUCUGAAUCCUCCGUUCCUUUCAUCCCAGUAAAACCCCCACCCCCGGAGACAUCCAUAAAACACCUUCAUGGAUGUCUCCUCCCCAAGCAAGCCCAGUCUUCUUCUGAUCUCCAUCUUUUUUAUCCUGGAACGUUCUCAUCAGAUCCUUGGCCGAAUCCCCUCAUCAUGCCACCCCAAGGUCUCUGGCUUUGAAUAGUUUGCUCUCCAACCCUCCGCCUGAGAUACAUUCUUAGUGCCCUACCUGAGAAAUAAUUAUCUAAUAUUAGAUAAUGAAAAAUAAUUAUCUACCAUAAGUAUUUAUCUGAGCACUUACUAGGUGUCAGACACUUCAGAGGCAUCUCAACAACCAUCCCCAUUUUACCAAUGAGAAAACUGAGUCUCAGAGGUUAAAUGGCUUGCUCGAUUGACACAGAAGAGCCCAACUGUGACUCCAGCUCCUGAUCUAACUACCACCCAACCCUUCAAACGCUUAUCUCUGCCCAUACCAUUCCUAUUUGCUGUAACCUGGAAUCUUCACCUUGGAGUCUUUUACCCCAGAAUCCCACCUGUAAUACCCCCAUCAAUGCCCUGAAUUCUUUUUUUUUUUUUUUUUUUGAGAUGGAGUGUCGCUCAAGCUGGAGUGCAAUGGCACGAUCUCAGCUCACUGCAACCUCUGCCUCCUGGGUUCAAGUGAUUCUCCUGCCUCAGCCUCCCAAGUAGCUGGGAUUACAGGCAUCUGCCACCACGCCCAGUUAAUUUUUGUAGUUUUAGUAGAGACAGGGUUUCGCCAUGUUGGCCAGGCUGGUCUCGAACUCCUGACCUGGUGAUCCACCCUCCUCAGCCUCCCAAAAUGCUGGGAUUACAGGCGUGAGCCACUGCUGCAGGCCCAAUGCCCUCAGUUCUUUCUAGCAAACCUGAUUCAGGAAUCUCAGGACCAGUCCAGGCAGGGAUGCUGGGCAAGGGAAGCUCAGGGCCGGGCCGGGGAUCGGGCCGGGGUUCAGGCCGGGGCUCCAGGCGAUGGGUGGGCAGAAAGCCUGAUAAAGAAGGGGUAUCAACGAGUGGAGCCCAAAUCCUCUCUUGCCUCCUUUCACUAUGGGGCUGGGGCAGCCCCUUGAAGAUGGCACCCACUUCUGCCAGAGCCAGCUCACCUGCAGAUGGCCGAGAGGUGGCUGGCAGGGUACGAGGCUGGCUGAGUGACACUCGGGGUGGCUCCUGGCCCAGGGGUCUGGUGUUGUAGCGGAGGUCGGAGGCCGAGUAGUGGUAACCAGGACCAGCCGGGCAGAUCUCCCGGAAACCCUCUGGGAAUAGGUAAGAGAGACAGAGAGAGGACAAGAGAGCGGGAAGAAAACGAUGGCCAGCCCAGACUCUGGCCUUGGCUAGGGGCAGGGCUUGGCUGGAGAGUGUCAGGGGUUUGAGCUGGAGGCUGGGAUGGGGUGGUGUCCUGGCCAAAGAGUAGAAUGUCUUAGAGGCUACAGGUGGGGCCAAGAGCGUUUUCCCACAUUUGGGAUGGUGGUAGGAACAGGGUUGAGGGCAGGGUCCGGUUGGGUCUACAGGGACAGAGUUGGAGGCUAGGAAAUAGCUCCCUUGUGAGAUUUAGUUUUAAGCAGAAGAUAGAAUGCCAGGGAGGUGUCUCAGGGAGGGGCAUGCCUGGGGUGGGGCUAAGCUGAAGGCAGUGUCUCAGAAGCCAAGGACUUGGUCAAAGUUCAGGGACAGGGUGGGACUGGGCGUUGACGCUCAGGAGACAAAAACUAACUUGGGAGCUCCGGGGUAGCUGUGGCUACGAAUGGAGGGGUGGCUGUGGCUACAGAUGGAGGUGGAGCCAUGGAUGCUGUCCAGUCUGAGGCCUGCGGGUCUCAGAGGCUGCUGCGUGGCCAAGGCUGGAGCCCAGCCAGUCAGGUUGGGGCAGUGAACUCAGGGUUGGAGGGUGGGGCGUAGAAUGAGCGCCACAUGUGUUGCGCGUAGGGCUAGGCACUGCCGCAGGGGCUCACCUGAGCCGAAGGGUGGGCAGAGCUGGCAGCCCCGGCCCCAGGCCUUGCCUACGCGGCUGCAGCAGCAGAUCUGUUUAGUGAUGUUCCGCAGAAUGGGCAGCGAACAGCCGCCGUCGCGGAGCACGCGGAAGCAGGGCCCUUUGGCCUCUGAGAUCACGUGUUGGGCUGCGAGGAGCAGGGAGGAAAUCCUUCAGGGCGGGGCUGGGAAUGCUGUAGCACUGAGGGAUUUGGGAGAGAGGGGAAUGGUUCUGGGGUUGGGGGUGGGGGGUUGGUGGGUGCGAGGGGCAUUUGGGAGAGGUCUGAGAGGGUCUGAAGGAGAGCAGUGGGCUCUGGAGGUCUGAGAAGGGCUUGGAGCCUCAAUGGGGUGUCAGUGGUGAAUGAGAGACUCUGAGAAGGAUCUCAAGAUCUGAAGAUAGUCGAGUCGUUGAGGGGGACGAGAGGAUUUGGGGGUCUGAGAAGGAUUCCAGAAAGUCUGGGAGAGCUGGGCGCAGUGGCUUACGCCUGUAAUCCCAGCACUUUGGGAGGCUGAGGUGGGCAGAUCACUUGAAGCCAGGGGUUUGAGGCCAGCCUGGCCAACGUGGCGAAACCCUGUCUCUACCAAAAAUACAAAAAAAUUUAGCCGGGCAUGGUGGUGCCCGCCUGUAGUUCUAGCUACUCGGGAGGCCGAGGCAGGAGAAUCACUUGAAACCAGGAGGCAGAGAUUGCAGUGAGCCGAGAUCGCGCCACUGCACUCCAGCCUGGGCGACAGAGCGAGACUCCAUCUCCAAAAAAAAAAGUCUGGGAGUCUGGAGGGAUCUGGAUCCAAAAGGCUUGAAAGGUCUAAAGGUGGUCCAGGGAUGCUGAAGCUGUAUAAGAAUCUGAGAAGUUCUGAGGGGGCUCUAAGGCUGACAGAGGAACCCGGGAGUCUGGGGGGGUCCGAGGGAAUUAAAGGCCCCAGGAUGCUCUGGGACUUCUGAGGGCAGGGAGGGCGGGACCCAGCCUCAGCUCCCUGCUGGUUGCUCACAGAUGCAGCUGCUGCGGGACGAGUCGAGCAGAAAGCCGUCGGGGCACACACACGUGUACCCGCCGCGCGUGUUUGCACACUCGCCGUGCUGGCAGCGCCCGCCAGUCGCGCACUCAUCCACAUCUGCCAGGGUUGGGGAGGUCACCGUGGAGUCAGGAACUUGAUCCCUGCAAAUCCCGCCCCCAGAACCAAGCCCCUCCCACCCCUGCCCCGUUGCACCUUCGCAGGACCCAUUAACUCUUUCAAAGCCGGUUGGACAAGGUCCAUCUGGGGCGCUCACUCUUUCGGAGUUCCCUGUGGCGAGAGGAGAGGGGUGGGCCAGGGACAGGUGGGCAGAGCGAGAAUGGAGUGGGCAGAGACGAAGACGGGGUGGGAGGGACUAAAAGAUGUUGGCUGUAGUUUAAGUGCAGGGACAGCCUUAGGUUGGCAGUUGAAAUGGCAACAUUGGAGACUCCCAAAGUAUAUGGUGGGGGGCCAAGGCACAAAGGCAGGGUGAGAACAGAGUGGCCAAAGUCAGAAAAUGGGGUGGGUGGUCCCAGAGCGGUAUGAAAAGCUCAGGACUGGAAGUCGCCUCCACAAUGGGGUAGGCGUGGCUACAAUUUGUGAACUGGGUUUAUCUAGGGCAGAGUAGGAGGAACGGUGAGGUUGUCACCACUCCCCAGCUCCGAGCACUUCGGGGACGUCCUGGGGCUUACCCAGGCGCUCGGAGCACAGCUGACAGUCGUGAACGCCCCAGGCCAAGCCGGCCCCUCGGCAGCAGACCUCCUGCGUCCGGAGCCCGGGCAGCGGGGACGCGCACUGCGGGGAAGUGUUGGGUGAGCGCGCCCCCGCGCGGAGGCAAGCUCCGGGCCCCUCCCCACGGGCCUCCUCUCACUUCGCCUCCGCGCAGCUCCCGAAAGCAGUAACCGAAGCCCGAGGCAUCUGAGUAGC